rnacentral:rRNA from 1 species
AGCGAACGCUGGCGGCAGGCCUAACACAUGCAAGUCGAACGAACUCUUCGGAGUUAGUGGCGGACGGGUGAGUAACACGUGGGAACGUGCCUUUUGGUUCGGAAUAACUCAGGGAAACUUGUGCUAAUACCGAAUGUGCCCUUCGGGGGAAAGAUUUAUCGCCAUUAGAGCGGCCCGCGUCUGAUUAGCUAGUUGGUGAGGUAACGGCUCACCAAGGCGACGAUCAGUAGCUGGUCUGAGAGGAUGACCAGCCACACUGGGACUGAGACACGGCCCAGACUCCUGCGGGAGGCAGCAGUGGGGAAUCUUGCGCAAUGGGCGAAAGCCUGACGCCGCCAUGCCGCGUGAAUGAUGAAGGUCUUAGGAUUGUAAAAUUCUUUCACCGGGGACGAUAAUGACGGUACCCGGAGAAGAAGCCCCGGCUAAUUUCGU